AUUUUAAAUAAUCCAAAUUUUUACAGGAUUAUUUUUAAAAUGUAUGAUGGUAUUGAUGUUACAGGUUUAGAAUUUUUGUAGAUUAGCCAGACAUAUUGUGUGUUGUUUCUUGCCAUGCACCAAAAUUGUUACUCUAUCCCUCAAUCGGGUUGGUCACUUUUUGUCUGAUCUUUAUUCAUUAGUGCAAAGUUCACUUUACACAUUAUUAUUUGCUUUCUAUACAGAAAAAAGGAAUGAUUUUGUAUGUAUAGAGCACUGAUUCACUAGUUUGUAAAAAAUGUCCUUAAUCUUAUGGUUAAUUGUAUUUUAUUUUUUUAUGGGGGGGGGGGGGGGCUUAAAAAGCUCCAGAUUAUCAUACUUACAAUCAUGUAACAAUCAUUUCCUGUGAAUUGCAGGGUCAUAUAAUACAGGCUACGUUGAUUAUCGUCAGAAACAUUAGUUUCUCUUUGUCUGUUUUAAACAACCAUUCCAGUUUUCAGUACAUGAAUCUUGUAUCUGUCCUGCCCUGUGUUGGAUUUGUUUUUAUGAACAUUUUGAUGACAUAGUGCAUUGUAUUAAUUCACUUUUGUGUCAUAAAUGUCUUGAUUUACUAGUCCAUGGUUUUAAGAAGAAGGUACAGUUUCUUUUAAUAUUUGCCCUAAAAUUCAAAAGUUGUUUAAAUCUCAUAAAAAUCCACAUAUAAUCUCUUGAACAUGUGUGUACCUGGUAUAUGAAAUGCCAAGUUAUACACUUUUAUCUUGUUUCAAAAAAUAAUUAUGAUUUCAAUUUGGCACAUUUAUAAGAUUGAGUCAAACAUGAUGAAAAAUGGCACAUUUUCUCAUUCCUUUUUGAAGAGGAGAAUGUGUCCGCAGCCGUCGCCCACAACAAAAUUAAUAUAUUUCAUGUGUUUUAACGUGAUAAAGUUAUAAUGUUAGUUUCAUCGUGGGCGACGGCUGCGGACAUAGAUUUGUAUUCAAAAACCACCUGCUCAGUUUUAUGAAAAUUACGGGAAAAUGCACUGUUUGUGACGUCACAAUUACCCUUGUGAAAGUCUAAUCAGGUAACUAUUUAUAGAUUCUUAGUUUAUUGGUAUUUUUGUGUAAAUUAAUAUAACAUUUCCAUUUUCUGGUGAUAUUUUUUAAAAUCACUCUAAAACAGGGCCAAAUAUGACUAAAACUGUACCUAGUUCUUUGUGAUAGCAUUAUAUCAUGCAAUGUGGUUACAAUUAUUCCUUACCAUUUAGAAUUAAAUAUAUACACAUGUAUAUGUAUUACUUUAUUAAGCGGAAGAAUCAAAAGAUUAAUAUGCAUUAGAUAUAUAUACAGUGUACAUGUUUAUUAAAUAAGGCGUUUGUCAAUACAGUAUAUAGUGAGUUAACCAGAAGAUUUCAGCUUUGUACGGACAAAUUUCAUUAGGAUGAUAUUAAUCCAGCUACAUAUCUACUGGCUGAAUUUACUGCUUAAUACUCCUGGUUACUUUGUUGCAUGGAAUGAGUAUAUUUGUCAGCAUUUUCUGAUUUAGAAAUUAUACGUUAAAAAAUUGACAAGCUUUACCUACGUUAUGUUGUAGGAUCCAUUACUAUGGUUUUGUAAAAGGUACAUUUUCAAGGAUACCUUAAUUUAUUUUACUACUAAAUUUCUUUCCAUUCACUCUUUUGAUACGAAUUUUUUAUCAUAUUUCUUUCUUCCGAUGGUUUCGUGGAACUACUCAACAACAAAAUUCUUGAAAAGUGGUUCUAGAUGAAAAUGAUAAAGCCACUGUGACAGAAUUCUCAAAGUUAUAGAAUUUCUAAAUUUUAGAAACUAUUGAAUGUAACACUAUUUGUAGCAUGAGGGAACUGAACGGAAUCCUGUUCUCAAACACAUAGAAGUGAACGUCCAGGAUUAACAUAUCAUUCAAGUUUUAUCUUUUUAAUAAUUCCAUUGUGUUCAUUUUUACAUUUACUCUUUUUUAAACCGUAUUUAAUUUAUAUAUGUAUGUUCACAACAGUAAAAAAAUGUCUUUUUUUUUUAAAUGACAUCUGUAUUAAAUCUUAAAUAU
rnacentral:sRNA from 1 species